rnacentral:rRNA from 1 species
UNUUNAACUUGCUUCUUGACGUUAGCGGCGGACGGGUGAGUACACGUGGGCACCUGCCUGUAAGACUGGGAUAACUUCGGGAAACCGAAGCUAAUACCGGAUAGGAUCUUCUCCUUCAUGGGAGAUGAUUGAAAGAUGGUUUCGGCUAUCACUUACAGAUGGGCCCGCGGUGCAUUAGCUAGUUGGUGAGGUAACGGCUCACCAAGGCAACGAUGCAUAGCCGACCUGAGAGGGUGAUCGGCCACACUGGGACUGAGACACGGCCCAGACUCCUACGGGAGGCAGCAGUAGGGAAUCUUCCGCAAUGGACGAAAGUCUGACGGAGCAACGCCGCGUGAGUGAUGAAGGCUUUCGGGUCGUAAAACUCUGUUGUUAGGGAAGAACAAGUACNAGAGUAACUGCUCGUACCUUGACGGUACCUAACCAGAAAGCCACGGCUAACUACGUGCCAGCAGCCGCGGUAAUACGUANGUGGNAAGCGUUUCC